ensembl:lncRNA
GUUUCACAGUUGCCUCCUGCAAGCUCACAGCAACCAGCACCAGCUGGCUUCAGCGCACAUCUAAAGGCCCUCCCCAACAACAGACAGAGGCCCGUGCAUCCCAGCAGAAACCCGGCUCUGAGCCCUUGUGGUCCCUGGAUCAGGACAGGGCCAUGGGCUUGUCUUCCAGCCCCUUGAAGAGGCCACACAAGAUCCCAGGGCAUCCGCCCUGGUUCUCCUACCCUGCACCCGGCGAUGGCCGCUGCCUGCCGUGCCCACGCAGAGACAAGGCCAGCCUCUCCGCAAAGGCUCUGACAGGACAGGGUGGGUUUAUUUACUCCUCGCUGAUGCUGGUUUCUCUGUCCCCAAGGUGAAGUCCUGCUGGUUGACCGUGUUUCCUGCCUGGGUUUUCCCUGCCCGGCCCAUCUUCCAUCCGCCCCACCCUGGACCCCCUCCACCCUGGCCACAAGCUCUCCCUCCAUGUCCCCUCCCUGGGCACCGGAAAUCAGACUCAGGAGCCCUCGGGUUCUUCCUCAGCAGGAAGUUGGCACCCACGGGCAGCAGCCUCAGCCCAGGUCACCCUUUGGUCUGGGUUAGGACGGCCGCAGACUACAC